CCGAUGGCGACCGGCGCACGGGUGAGUAACACGUAUCCAACCUGCCUCAUACUCGGGGAUAGCCUUUCGAAAGAAAGAUUAAUAUCCGAUAGCAUAUAUUUCCCGCAUGGGUUUUAUAUUAAAGAAAUUCGGUAUGAGAUGGGGAUGCGUUCCAUUAGUUUGUUGGGGGGUAACGGCCCACCAAGACUACGAUGGAUAGGGGUUCUGAGAGGAAGGUCCCCCACAUUGGAACUGAGACACGGUCCAA
rnacentral:rRNA from 1 species